rnacentral:piRNA from 1 species
UUGAGAAGGACUCCAUGUUCAAGUGCAGA